rnacentral:rRNA from 1 species
AGCAGCCGCGGUAAUUCCAGCUCCAAUAGCGUAUAUUAAAGUUGUUGCAGUUAAAAAGCUCGUAGUUGAAUUUCGGGAUCAAUUUGUUGGUCGUGCCUCGGUACGUACUGGCAUUAUUGGUUUCUACCUUCUGAAGAACCUUGAUGUCAUUAAUUUGGUGUCUUGGGGAAUCAGGACUGUUACUUUGAAAAAAUUAGAGUGUUUAAAGCAGGCAUACGCUUGAAUACAUUAGCAUGGAAUAAUGAAAUAGGACGUUUGAUUCUAUUUUGUUGGUUUCUUAGGAUCGACGUAAUGAUUAAUAGGGAUAGUUGGGGGCAUUAGUAUUCAAUUGUCAGAGGUGAAAUUCUUGGAUUUAUUGAAGACUAACUACUGCGAAAGCAUUUGCCAAGGAUGUUUUCAUUAAUCAAGAACGAAAGUUAGGGGAUCGAAGACGAUCAGAUACCGUCGUAGUCUUAACCAUAAACUAUGCGACUAGGGAUCGGAUGAUGUUAUUUUUAAUGACUCAUUCGGCGCCUUAAC